rnacentral:rRNA from 1 species
GACGAACCGUGCGAACGUUGUUCGGAUUCACUGGGCUUAAAGGGCGCGUAGGCGGUCGACCAAGUCUGGGGUGAAAUCUUUCGGCUUAACCGGAAAAGUGCCCCCGAUACUGGCCGGCUAGAGGGAGAUAGGGGCAUGUGGAACUUCCGGUGGAGCGGUGAAAUGCGUAGAUAUCUGGAGGAACACCGGUGGCGAAGGCGGCAUCCUGGACCAACACUGACGCUGAGGAGCGAAAGCCAGGGGAGCAAACGGG